UGGCAUGAUGAACUCUUCUGGAAUCUCGUUCGGCUGAAUGUCAGUGUUGAGAAGCGGAAUCUGAGAAUC
ensembl:snoRNA SNORD30 Small nucleolar RNA SNORD30